rnacentral:rRNA from 1 species
GAUGAACGCUGGCGGCGUGCCUAAUACAUGCAAGUCGAGCGAACAGACGAGGAGCUUGCUCCUCUGACGUUAGCGGCGGACGGGUGAGUAACACGUGGAUAACCUACCUAUAAGACUGGGAUAACUUCGGGAAACCGGAGCUAAUACCGGAUAAUAUAUUGAACCGCAUGGUUCAAUAGUGAAAGACGGUUUUGCUGUCACUUAUAGAUGGAUCCGCGCCGCAUUAGCUAGUUGGUAAGGUAGCGGCUUACCAAGGCAACGAUGCGUAGCCGACCUGAGAGGGUGAUCGGCCACACUGGAACUGAGACACGGUCCAAACUCCUACGGGAGGCAGCAGUAGGGAAUCUUCCGCAAUGGGCGAAAGCUUGACGGAGCAACGCCGCGUGAGUGAUGAAGGUCUUCGGAUCGUAAAACUCUGUUAUUAGGGAAGAACAAAUGUGUAAGUAACUAUGCACGUCUUGACGGUACCUAAUCAGAAAGACACGGCUAACUACGUG